CAAAAACCCACAAAUUCUGACAAACUCCAAGCAUUGAUUAUGCAAGAAUGGGCUGCCAUCAGUCAGGAUGUGGCCCAGAAGUUAAUUGACAGCAUGCCAGGGUGAAUUGCAGAGGACUUGAAAAAGAAGAGUCAACAUUGCAAAUAUUGACUCUUUGCAUCAGUAUCCAUAGUAACAUCUGACAAAAAUAUCUAAAGACACUGAAGCAGCAAACUUUGUGGAAAUUAAUAUUUGUGUCAUUCUCAAAACUUUUGGCCACGACUAUACACACACGUGAUUAUCAGAUAACAGAUAACUGCAGAUAUAACAGUAGUCCUGAUAACCAGACAGGUUUGAGGCUUUAUUCCCCCCCCCACCCCCACUGAUGACGACCUCCCCCUCACCAAUUUUCCCCUCUGUUGGGCCGAGCGCGUCUCCCGCAGGGCGAAGACGUUCCCGCACACCGAGAUCUCCCGCCACACGCCUGGCGCCGGCUCCGACUCAAAGUCUCCCGCCGGGUGCAUCACCAGCACGCCAUUGGUGGUCAGGCCGUCCAUCAAGCCGUCUGACGUUCGCCAUUUGGCAGCCCGCUCCUGAGAGACCCACACACAAACAGACAAACAGAGAGCCAAGUAGCAGUGGGCCGAGCUGCCUGCCCGACUCCGCUGUCUGCCAAGGACAUUGUGUGUGUGCCAGUUGUAGAGGAGGGAGCCGUGCGGAGGUUAUUCAGCCUUCGCUUCAUUGACAGCAGCUAGCAGCUAUUGAGGGCUCUGAGGUUUCUCUCCUGUAUGUCUUGCACCGGCCACAUGCUACGAUGCUACGAUGAAUUACGCAAGUCUAUGUGGUGGGGUUAGGUUAGUCAUCUGGAUGUUAUCGCAUGAUGAUGUCACGACGUGGACACAUUGUCUUAUUUGUUUGUCCUUUGCAGUGUCAAAAGGUCGCAUGUGGUGUCAUGCUAUCGUUGUCAUCGAUGCCAUCGUCUGUAGUCAACGAAAAGCAUUUAAAAGAAUAAACACUUAUUUCUUGUGUGAUAUCCACUAAA